GGUUUUGUAGUGUAGUGGUUAUCACGUUUGCCUCACUGUAAGGUCCCUGGUUCGAAACCGGGCAGAAACA